AAAAGAGUAGCAGUAGAUCUCAUAAAUAGCCAGAAACUAAUUGUGUUUCUAGGCAUUGACCAUAUUUUGAUACACCGACUUAAUAGUUUUUAUUGUGUUCAUCUGACUCAUGCGUGAGGGAGAAAAGCUGUGCAAAUAAAACAUCAUCAGCCUUUUUGCUGUAGUAAAACAUUAGAUCAGGAGGCUGAAGCCACAGCUAGGAAAAGAAAGUGUAUUAUUUCAUAUUGCUCCUGCUGUGGUUCCUGCCUUCACUGCUGGGACUCUGUCCACUUUGCAUAAAGAAUGAAUACACAUGGAUUUUAGAAAUCAGAAAUUAAACCUCAGGAACUAAGCAGUAGCCAACCAUAAUGAAGCACCUGGAAGUUUUCCUUGAGAUGAUCGUUUGUGGGUUUGUAAAUGCCUGUUAGAAUCGUAAGUGCCAUUAACAUUGUGGAGGAGGACCUGAGUUUCUUGUAAAGGGCUCACUUUGAAUAACAGGCUGUGCGCUCACACCUCCUGAUUCCUCUCUAUGCUGGUAUUAAUCCCUGCUCUGCAAUCUUGGUGAUUGAUUACAUGAAUUAUGUGACUAAAUAGUGCAUCAGCAAAGGAAUAUCGAAAUGGAUUGCCUGUGUAUCGUAACAACAAAGAGUGUGCCUAGGAAUAUUGCACUUUUCUACCUAUCAGGAUCCUCUACCGUAAGGAUUGUCCUUGAGAGCUUCCAUUUUUCUGUUGUUUUACUUUAUAACACAGUGUUCCAUUGGCAUAAUAUUUGCAUCGUGCUGUAUGUGUACCUUAUUGUAUUGAUACAAUGUAUGAAAAUAUGUAUAACAGCUAUACUUGUCAUUUGUACGUAUGGUUUUAUGAAAACUGAAUUUACAGAGCUUUUCAGGCCAUUACCUCUUUGCUUUUCCUGAAGUAGUAGCAUUCUGUUGAAUAGGUGAUCAAGAAAUACUGUACUAACAGCGUUUUAAAUAAGAGGGGUAGUUGAUGAUGAAAGUUGAUGUUAGAAUGCAGAGAUCCUAAAGGCUUUAGUUAUGUGCUGACUAGUCUUUAUAAAACAGAAAUGGCUAUAAAAUAGUUAGACCAUAUGCUAUAAUACAAAAAAAUGUAGAAAGAAUGAGGUUCUGAACUAGAGUCUGCUAAAAUACAAUCAAAAACUAAUUGCCCACUGAUUAUGACUGCAAACAUCAGCAUAGCAUUAGAGCAAAUGUUGGUAUAAAAUCAAAUUAUUGGCUAUAUAGAAACUAAAUUCAUCAAUACAGCAGUGAUAAAAAGUUGGCAUUUAGCUAGAUGUCUAGAAAGAUCAUAUAGUUGCUAACAUGCAUGUGAUUUUCUUCAGUUUAUUGAUGUGCAAUGUAUACAUAGAUGACUGAUAAAAUAUUUUUGCCAGUUUCAGACAUAAGAAUGUACAAAGCAGAAAUGUUUUUGUAUGGCUACUGUAAAUGUGCAAAGAUUAUUGUUGGAAAGCAGAAAAUCCUCACUGUUACAACAUGUAUUGAAUCAGAUAUUAAAUAUAAGUCACAGUUAAAUGUUUGUGUCACAUUAAGUAAUUAAGCAAGGAAAUAAAAUAAGGAAUAAACUGAUUUUCAAAUCA